CAAGUUCGAGCGGAAACGACACUAACAAUCCUUCGGGUGCGUUAAUGGGCGUCGAGCGGCGGACGGGUGAGUAAUGCCUAGGAAAUUGCCUUGAUGUGGGGGAUAACCAUUGGAAACGAUGGCUAAUACCGCAUGAUGCCUACGGGCCAAAGAGGGGGACCUUCGGGCCUCUCGCGUCAAGAUAUGCCUAGGUGGGAUUAGCUAGUUGGUGAGGUAAUGGCUCACCAAGGCGACGAUCCCUAGCUGGUCUGAGAGGAUGAUCAGCCACACUGGAACUGAGACACGGUCCAGACUCCUACGGGAGGCAGCAGUGGGGAAUAUUGCACAAUGGGCGAAAGCCUGAUGCAGCCAUGCCGCGUGUAUGAAGAAGGCCUUCGGGUUGUAAAGUACUUUCAGUUGUGAGGAAGGGUGUGUAGUUAAUAGCUGCGCAUCUUGACGUUAGCAACAGAAGAAGCACCGGCUAACUCCGUGCCAGCAGCCGCGGUAAUACGGAGGGUGCGAGCGUUAAUCGGAAUUACUGGGCGUAAAGCGCAUGCAGGUGGUUCAUUAAGUCAGAUGUGAAAGCCCGGGGCUCAACCUCGGAACUGCAUUUGAAACUGGUGAACUAGAGUGCUGUAGAGGGGGGUAGAAUUUCAGGUGUAGCGGUGAAAUGCGUAGAGAUCUGAAGGAAUACCAGUGGCGAAGGCGGCCCCCUGGACAGAU
rnacentral:rRNA from 1 species